rnacentral:rRNA from 1 species
GACGGGGGAUGCAAGCGUUAUUCGGAAUUAUUGGGCGUAAAGCGUCUGUAGGUGGUGAGGAAAGUGUUUUGUUAAAGAUCAGGGCUCAACCCUGGGAAAGCAAGGCAAACUAUCUCACUUGAGUUCGGUAGGGGCAGAGAGAAUUCCCAGUGUAGCGGUGAAAUGCGUAGAUAUUGGGAGGAAGACCGGUGGCGAAGGCGUUCUGCUGGGCCGUAACUGACACUGAGAGACGAAAGCUAAGGGAGCAAAUAGGAUUAGAUACCCUAGUAGUCUUAGCUGUAAACGAUGCACACUAUGCUUUGCUUCAGAGCAAAAGCUAACGCGUUAAGUGUGCCGCCUGGGGAGUACAUUCGCAAGGAUG